GAUUCCUCCUUCUGGAAUACUUGUUGAGCCCUGAUUCUUGGGACAGUUGUGCCUGGGACCAGCGGUUCCUCCUCUGACACCAGCAUCAUGAUGAGCUGAAUCUCUGAAGCUUCAAACUGCUGGAUGCCUCUCUGGAUAUGUAAUCCCUGCACUUGGAACCCGUUGGAUGAUGCUCAGAGUCCUUUAAAAGACUUUAACAUGGUUUUGGAAAGGAAGAGCUGGAGGAGAUUCAGCCAUAAAAAGCUGGAUGGAGGCAGAAGGGUGCAACGUGCCUGGGAAUUGUGAGACAGGAUCAGCAGCCAGCUUUGAUCAGAGAAGAUGAAUUUGAGAGCAGAUUCUUUCAUAGCAACUCAGAAAGGGGAUUUGGCACCUCCAGAUGACCUGGGGGAGACGGACUUCUGCUGUGACCCAUUCCGUGAUCACAGUUCACUUGUGAUCCUUUGUAUGAGUUACGCUGCGUGUUGGCAGCAGUCCGUGUCCUUAAAAGAACACAACCAAAAUAAAGAUCAGUUGCCUUGCCUUUCUGACUGUAACUAAUUGCUAAUGUUGUUACAGUGGAAAGAAUACUUUAAAACUGACUUGGACCUUUGUAUUUUAAUUGACUGACUUUUGUGUUUCACCUGGCUUGCUCAGGAAUCAGAAAUGACUUUGCUUACUUUUUCUGUUCAGAAUCACUUUCUGGCCGUUUGCCCAGACCAGAGGAGCCCCAGGCUCUUCAAUACUGAAUGCAGACUGGAAGUGGAGCCAAACUGUUCUCUAAAAUGUUCUGCUUUGAAUAAGGGGAUGGCUGUAUUUGACUGAAGUUUUCUUUUACUCUUCCACAAACUGGAAAAUCUAACCCAAUGUCACUGGAGAAUCGUGAAUUUUUGUCAGUUCUGUUAAUGGUCAGUCAUGAUUU